GCUCCCGUAGUGAAAUGGAUAUCACAACAGUCUUCGGAACUGUUGUUGCAGGUUCGAGUCCUGCCGGGAGCA
rnacentral:tRNA from 1 species